rnacentral:rRNA from 1 species
UGGGGAAUCUUGCACAAUGGGGGAAACCCUGAUGCAGCGACGCCGCGUGAGUGAUGAAGCCCUUCGGGGUGUAAAGCUCUUUCGACAGGAACGAUAAUGACGGUACCUGAAGAAGAAGCUGCGGCUAACUACGUGCCAGCAGCCGCGGUAAUACGUAGGCAGCAAGCGUUGUUCGGAAUUACUGGGCGUAAAGAGUGUGUAGGCGGUGCUCUAAGUUUGGUGUGAAAUCUCCCGGCUCAACUGGGAGGGUGCAUCGAAAACUGGAGUGCUCGAGGGUGGGAGAGGUAAGCGGAAUUCCUGGUGUAGCGGUGAAAUGCGUAGAUAUCAGGAGGAACACCUGUGGUGUAGACAGCUUACUGGACCACUUCUGACGCUGAGACACGAAAGCGUGGGUAGCAAACAGGAUUAGAUACCCUGGUAGUCCACGCCCUAAACGAUGCAUACUUGGUGUGAGUCAUUCAUUUGAUUCGUGCCGGAGCUAACGCGUUAAGUAUGCCGCCUGGGGAGUACGGUCGCAAGGCUGA